AGAGGCAGAGCCGCAGGGUAGAUGGAAACAUCACAGUGCUACACUGCAGUGUGUUUUAGGAAACACACACACACACACACACAGGGACGUCAUGCACCAUAAAAAUCUGAUGGGGCACAAAGUAUGUGAGGAUGACUGGGGAGUGGUCCGUAGGGGGGCUAGGCCACCCGUCCAGUUGAUCUGCACACAACUUUCCACAAAGCCCUGGAAGAAGAGGUCUGAUCGGGAUGUAACGCUCGUAAGGAGACAGAAGCCUUGUUCUAGAGUCUAGAUGAGCAGCCAAGUUUUGGAGGUCGGUGGUAAUCAGAGGUUCUUUAUCUUCAGGAACAUACGUCAAUAGUGAAGACUUGUCAGAGAGGUGAUGCUGUGGAGAGGCACACCAGAGGGGUGUCCUGGAGAUGGUGGAGGAUCCUGAAGGGCCGAGGUCAACGGUGGAUGUGGCUGUCGUACUGGAGGGAGAAGUACAUUUUAGUAUGACGUGUCUAAUGAAGAAUUAACCAACAAUUUUGUGUUAGUGGCUUCAACAUACAAUUAUUUAGCAACUAGUUCCACAACCUUUUUUUCAAAUCAUAAUUUCUAGUUGAAUGAACAUAUGAGACAAGUUGAGCAAACACACUGUUUAAAUUGGAGCUAAGCGAAAAUGUUUAAAUUCAGGUAACACUUUGACCGAAAAGUUUAGUUAAACAAUAAUAGAUAGUUUAGCUUGCUAGAUAAUGUUACCUAGCUGUGUAACCUAUAUUAUAAUAUGAAUGAUGUAUGACAACAAUACUGUACUUUAAAUUCGUAAAUUUUCCUUUUUUUUAUAUGCUAACGUUACUUACUUAUAUUAUCCAAGAUGGCGUAGCAGUUAGAUGUCUUUGUUCUUCGACUUGUAUACAGUGGGGGAAAAAAGUAUUUAG